rnacentral:rRNA from 1 species
GUGAACUCAGAUCAUGUGAUCUGACUGUGCUAAGGUAGCAUAAUAAUUUGUUAUUUAAUUAGUAACUAGUAUGAAUGGCGGGACAAAUAAUUUAUUUUCUUAAUUUAAAAAGAACUUGAUUUAAGAAUUAAAAAGUUCUUAAAUUUUAGAAAGACGACAAGACCCUAAAAUCUUUACUUUAUUAGUUUUACUGGGGCGGUAUACAGUUUAACACAGGAUUUAAAAACAUAAUGGAUGAAUUUAUUAAACCUUAAUUUGAAUAAAAAAAGAUACUUUAGGGAUAACAGAAUAAUCUUUAUUAAGAGCUCGUAUCAACAUAAAAGUUUAUUACCUCGAUGUUGAAUUGAAUAUUCUUUAUGGAGCAGCCUCUAU